GACGAACGCUGGCGGCGUGCUUAACACAUGCAAGUCGAACGGAAAGGCCCUGCUUUUGUGGGGUGCUCGAGUGGCGAACGGGUGAAUAACACGUGAGUAACCUGCCCUUGACUUUGGGAUAACUUCAGGAAACUGGGGCUAAUACCGGAUAGGAGCUCCUGCUGCAUGGUGGGGGUUGGAAAGUUUCGGCGGUUGGGGAUGGACUCGCGGCUUAUCAGCUUGUUGGUGGGGUAGUGGCUUACCAAGGCUUUGACGGGUAGCCGGCCUGAGAGGGUGACCGGCCACAUUGGGACUGAGAUACGGCCCAGACUCCUAUGGGAGGCAGCAGUGGGGAAUAUUGCACAAUGGGCGGAAGCCUGAUGCAGCAACGCCGCGUGCGGGAUGACGGCCUUCGGGUUGUAAACCGCUUUCGCCUGUGACGAAGCGUGAGUGACGGUAAUGGGUAAAGAAGCACCGGCUAACUACGUGCCAGCAGCCGCGGUGAUACGUAGGGUGCGAGCGUUGUCCGGAUUUAUUGGGCGUAAAGGGCUCGUAGGUGGUUGAUCGCGUCGGAAGUGUAAUCUUGGGGCUUAACCCUGAGCGUGCUUUCGAUACGGGUUGACUUGAGGAAGGUAGGGGAGAAUGGAAUUCCUGGUGGAGCGGUGGAAUGCGCAGAUAUCAGGAGGAACACCAGUGGCGAAGGCGGUUCUCUGGGCCUUUCCUGACGCUGAGGAGCGAAAGCGUGGGGAGCGAACAGGCUUAGAUACCCUGGUAGUCCACGCUGUAAACGGUGGGUACUAGGUGUGGGGUCCAUUCCACGGGUUCCGUGCCGUAGCUAACGCUUUAAGUACCCCGCCUGGGGAGUACGGCCGCAAGGCUAAAACUCAAAGGAAUUGACGGGGCCCCGCACAAGCGGCGGAGCAUGCGGAUUAAUUCGAUGCAACGCGUAGAACCUUACCUGGGUUUGACAUGGAUCGGGAGUGCUCAGAGAUGGGUGUGCCUCUUUUGGGGUCGGUUCACAGGUGGUGCAUGCCUGUCGUCAGCUCGUGUCGUGAGAUGUUGGGUUAAGUCCCGCAACGAGCGCAACCCUUGUUCACUGUUGCCAGCACGUUAUGGUGGGGACUCAGUGGAGACCGCCGGGGUCAACUCGGAGGAAGGUGGGGAUGACGUCAGGUCAUCAUGCCCCUUAUGUCCAGGGCUUCACGCAUGCUACAAUGGCUGGUACAGAGAGUGGCGAGCCUGUGAGGGUGAGCGAAUCUCGGAAAGCCGGUCUCAGUUCGGAUUGGGGUCUGCAACUCGACCUCAUGAAGUCGGAGUCGCUAGUAAUCGCAGAUCAGCAACGCUGCGGUGAAUACGUUCCCGGG
rnacentral:rRNA from 1 species